AUGCCGUUCGGCCUCUGCAAUGCGCCGGCUACGUUUCAGUGCCUCAGGAACUCGGUGUUCGGCCGACAUGUCCGUAAGUUUAUCAUCAUAUUCCUCAAUGACAUACUAGUCUUUAGCUUCGAUCUCCAGGAACACGAGGAACACCUACACAUCGUCCUCAACCUGCUCCGCGAACACCAGCUGUACGCGAAGGCCUCCAAGUGCUCGUUCGCGCAACAGAAGAUCGAGUACCUGGGGCACGUCAUCUCCAAGGACGGCGUGGCCACUGACGCGAACAAGACCAGUGCCAUGAGCGCCUGGCCCGUGCCCACCAUGCCCACCGAGCUGCGCGGCUUCCUCGGCCUGACCGGCUACUAUCGCAAGUUCGUGCCCCAUUAUGGCAUCAUCGCGAAGCCGCUCACGCGCCUGCUCACAAAGAAGGGAUUUCUGGGACGACAAGGCGCAGGCAGCAUUCGAGAUGCUCAAGCAGGCCAUGGUGAGCACGCCCGUGCUCGCUCUCCCCGACUUCAAGCGCCCGUU
rnacentral:rRNA from 1 species